GCCAGAGGCAGUUCAGUUCCUUGCUAGAGCUGUAGGAGUAUGGCUGGUUGACAGAGCUACAGAACCCUGGACAGGGCAGCGCUGCCAGAAGCUGGGGAGAGUGAGAAGGAGCCCUGAGCUGGUUGCUGGGACUCCUUUAGGACAAGGCCCUGAAAACUUGAGACCUCUGUUGCAGAAAACAGACCUAACAUGGAAUGGCAUAUUCUUGGCAGUGAACCAGGAGACACUUCUGCAAUUGUGGCCUUCAGGGUCGCCCCCUCCACACCCACAGAAUGUCUGAGCCAGAUAAUGAGGAUAAAGAAAAGGACUCAGGAUGACAUGUUCCAGGAGAUCUUGGAAGCCAGUCCUGCAUCAGAGAACAGGCACAGGGCCUGGAGGAUGGUGCCUGGGCCCUGGGGGUGCUCAAAGCCCUGCUCAGCCCCUGGCCCCACCCCCACCUGACCCCUUCCCUCAAGUCUCCACCCCUGCCCAGCCUCUUCCCGCCCUCGCUCCGCCCUAUGCCGCACCCCCACUCUUACCCCAAGUUCAGUGUUCAGUUAGGCCCAGCGCCUUGGCAUGACCUGGCAUCUGGAUGCCAGAGUGACACCCACCAUCAACAAAAACCGGAAUUUUCUCCAUAUAAAAGCCAAAGGUAUUUUAUGAUGACGUUAUGAUGUUUUUUCUGAAGACUUUUUAAGCUUCUUAAAGGUGUUAAUUAUUAAUUACAUAGUAUUGAAUGUGUUUUUUUUAAAAAACACACAUGCAGUGUUCUGAAACAUAUUUUCAGGCAGUAUUCUGAAACAUGUUUCACGGAAAAUAACUGAAUAUAAUGAAAUCAGAAGUGUCUCAAUUAAUGGACAAUGCUGCAUAUAUUAGUUAGUAAAAGUGAAUAAUAAUGUGGCAGCUUUUCCGAAGACUGUCUGCUCAUGGGAUUAAGUAUUAUGAGUUAAUGAGUCUUCUAUUGUUAAGUCCCCAGUUCAAAUCCAGCUCACAUUGGUGGCAACCAAAAAUUGUCUCAGUCUGACAGCUGUUUGGUGGUUUCCUUCAUGUGAAAUUAGCUGGAGGCCCCAGUUUCUUGUUAGAGAUCCUCAUCAUCCCAAAGCACAAUUAGUACUAAUUGGUAUCCUUGCUGGCAGUUUAGGGAGAAAGAUCAUGUGUUGUAGCUGAACGGAGAUGGAAAUGUUCUUUCCCUUCAAGAGGGUGGUCCCUCCCAAUACAGAGUAAGACACAGAGUAAGACAGGUUGGAGGGGCAGUGUGUGGAAACUUGCACUGCUGCUGUACUUAUUUUUGUGGAUAAAUAGGAUAUUCCAGACUUCCAAAGCUGUGAGUCUAGACCUUCUCACAAGCACAGAAUUCAUGUUUUAAAGAAGAAAACAGGUCACUUUCUUUUUUGAAAGCAACACCUAUAAAAACAAACAAACCAACAACAACACCCCAAAGCAACCUUGCAUUGCUGCUUUUUUUCCAGCUAGAAUUAAAAAAAGAAAGUUUGCUUAGACUAAAAUAAGGUCAAUUAGAAUCUUUUCCUUCUUUCACUGUCAGAUUAUAAAAGACAUUAACAAAGUUUUACUUUUCAUGAGUUUGAUUCUUCCCAUUUGUAGUGCUGUGAAGGCUCUUCUUGAUUAAGAGCUAGACAGAGUUUACUUGCAGACCAUUGAGAGGGGCAGUGCUCAGUUAUGUCCCCCCUCAUCCUUUGUGCAGGCAGGUAGGUGUGCCACAAUCUUGCAUUAAAUGCAGGGCCUUUUAAGAGAAAUGUAGAAUAAAUGGCACUUUUCAAAAAAUGUAUCCAAAAAUGAGUUAAAAGUAAAAUAUGAUUAUACAUUAUGAUGUGCAAAUGUUAUAGCUUGCUGCUCAUUAUGCUAUGGGAGGAUCAUAAUCCCCAAAGAAACAAAUUUAGAUUAUCAUCUAAACAAACAAUGAUUUAAAGAAAAGGCAGUUCCAUGCUUAUAUGCACAGAUAGUAAGUACUCUGGACAAAAAAGGAAUCAUAAGUGAGACCUGCCAUAAACUGGAUCGUUAUAUUAAAUGGAAAUGUAGGUUAUUCACUCCGAGUGCAGCUAAAAUGGCAGGAUCUCAUGUGAAAGUUCAUUAAUGUUGCAAUUUCUUAACUGGAUUUAUUCGUUAAUGUAUUUGAUGAGGGGAGACUCAAAAAUGCAUGAGGGAUUUAGGAACACAAAUCCCAUUGCUUUUCUAUAAGAUGCUUUUGGAAUCACCCCCUGAAUAUGUUGAGUCAAUUUGAGAUAUACAAAAAUGAAUAGAAAGUCAUCCAUUAGAAAAGCACAACUGCGUUUUCAUUGGUUCUGUAAAAUGUAUUAAAACAGAACAUGAGAUAUCAUCACUCAACAUUUUUUUGCUCACUGGGCUGGUGGAUGUGAGCCUAAUCCUGAGAGUUGCUAGUCCAUGCAAUAAUGAUGGACUCAGCACCUCUCAAGAUUAGGUCCCUAGCAUGUUACAAAGUAGAACUAGUGGAAAAAUGAAAACAAAUUGAAUGUUUUCAAAAUUUUCAGGGUUUGAAACUUUGAUUGUUCUUAAAUUUGUUGUGCUUUUUAAAAAUCCAUUUUUAAUCAGACAUGAGUUUAAAAAACACAUUCAUAAACAAAAAAUGAGAUGUUAGUGAAAAAAAUUAAUGUUUUGGAUGGAAUGUAGAGAAAAAUUUGUGACAAAUUUUGAAAAGUGAAUAGGCUUUUUGCAAUUUUUGUUUAUUUUCAGCAAGGCCAGUUUUCAAUGAAAAAUCUUUUUGUUUAACAAUUUUUAUCAGCUCUACCACUGAGGACUUUGGAAUAAAAAUCUUGCUCCUCUUUGGACAUCAGUAGCAAAAUUAAAAUAAUCCUGUCCCCCAAAUUAAUUUAUAUCAGCUCUACUCUCUCCUAUGCUUGAGUUUCUACAGAUAGGAUAGGUGCUUCCAUGAGUUUCAGAUCCAUUUCCUAUGAAUUCUUUUGUAAGGAAGCAGGUUCCCCUUUCAAAAGAAGUUAUGGAUUCCCGUCUACUAUUUGGCCCUACUACCUCAUAAUGGACCCCAAAAUGUCAUGCUUAGAGGCAGUACUUAAUUUGUGCCAGGGUUUGCCAAGGCUGAGCCCCAACACCUCAUGUCAGUUAUGAAAGGAAAAUAAUUGCUUGAUCCCUGGUACUCCUUUCAUUACAAAUUAAACAUUGCUUGGAGGGGCUUCCCUAACUGUGACUGCCCCCUGGGCAACCACCAUAUUGGAAUUCUGCAGCACAGAGGGGGAAGUAGCCUCAGUUAAUACAGCUUUAUGCUUUCUAGGGGAGAACCCAGAGGAAACCAGCCCAUUCCUCUACCCUGCCCCUUCCUGCUCCCUCUAGAUUUGUGGACCACACUGAGCACUCAAAAUGCAAUUUCCACACUCAGCAGACUUCCCUUCACAUACAAACACAGAGGGGAGCCUGAGGCCAUUUCCCCUCUAUUUUUAAACAAACCUAGCAAUGAUUGAAUUUCUAGCUGUAUCUAUCUGUAGGAUCACAUUUGGAGGGGUUUACAAGAAGUAUUGUUUAUCAAUGAGAAGUAGGGCAAAGUCUCUGUAAGGCAGUUUUUAUAAAUGUUGGGCUUAAAGAAAAAAAUGUAAAAAUUCUUUUUGAGAAAACUCUGGUUUCCUCUUGUAAGGGUUACCAGUUUGGUUAUGGGAGUUGAAUUCAAAUAAACUACCUUUUUG